rnacentral:rRNA from 1 species
UACGUAGGGUGCGAGCGUUAAUCGGAAUUACUGGGCGUAAAGGGCGCGUAGGCGGUGCGGUAAGUCUGUAGUGAAAUCCCUGGGCUCAACCCAGGGCCUGCAUCGGAAACUGUCGGGCUUGAGUAUGGGAGAGGUGAGUGGAAUUUCCGGUGUAGCGGUGAAAUGCGUAGAUAUCGGAAGGAACACCUGUGGCGAAAGCGGCUCACUGGACCAUUACUGACGCUGAGGCACGAAAGCUAGGGGAGCAAACAGG